rnacentral:rRNA from 1 species
AAACCCGUUCGCCGGAAGACCAAGGGUUCCUGUCCAACGUUAAUCGGGGCAGGGUGAGUCGACCCCUAAGGCGAGGCCGAAAGGCGUAGUCGAUGGGAAACAGGUUAAUAUUCCUGUACUUGGUGUUACUGCGAAGGGGGGACGGAGAAGGCUAUGUUGGCCGGGCGACGGUUGUCCCGGUUUAAGCGUGUAGGCUGGUUUUCCAGGCAAAUCCGGAAAACCAAGGCUGAGGCGUGAUGACGAAGCACUACGGUGCUGAAGCGACAAAUGCCCUGCUUCCAGGAAAAGCCUCUAAGCAUCAGGUAACAUCAAAUCGUACCCCAAACCGACACAGGUGGUCAGGUAGAGAAUACCAAGGCGCUUGAGAGAACUCGGGUGAAGGAACUAGGCAAAAUGGUGCCGUAACUUCGGGAGAAGGCACGCUGAUAUGUAGGUGAAGCGACUUGCUCGUGGAGCUGAAAUCAGUCGAAGAUACCAGCUGGCUGCAACUGUUUAUUAAAAACACAGCACUGUGCAAACACGAAAGUGGACGUAUACGGUGUGACGCCUGCCCGGUGCCGGAAGGUUAAUUGAUGGGGUUAGCGGUAACGCGAAGCUCUUGAUCGAAGCCCCGGUAAACGGCGGCCGUAACUAUAACGGUCCUAAGGUAGCGAAAUUCCUUGUCGGGUAAGUUCCGACCUGCACGAAUGGCGUAAUGAUGGCCAGGCUGUCUCCACCCGAGACUCAGUGAAAUUGAACUCGCUGUGAAGAUGCAGUGUACCCGCGGCAAGACGGAAAGACCCCGUGAACCUUUACUAUAGCUUGACACUGAACAUUAAGCCUUGAUGUGUAGGAUAGGUGGGAGGCUUUGAAGUGUGGACGCCAGUCUGCAUGGAGCCGACCUUGAAAUACCACCCUUUAAUGUUUGAUGUUCUAACGUUGGCCCGUAAUCCGGGUUGCGGACAGUGUCUGGUGGGUAGUUUGACUGGGGCGGUCUCCUCCUAAAGAGUAACGGAGGAGCACGAAGGUUGGCUAAUCCUGGUCGGACAUCAGGAGGUUAGUGCAAUGGCAUAAGCCAGCUUGACUGCGAGCGUGACGGCGCGAGCAGGUGCGAAAGC